rnacentral:rRNA from 1 species
UACGUAGGGAGCAAGCGUUGUCCGGAAUCAUUGGGCGUAAAGCGCGCGUAGGUGGCUCUGUAAGUCCGUUGUGAAAGUCAAAGGCUCAACCUUUGAAAGCCGAUGGAUACUGCAGAGCUAGAGUCCGGAAGAGGCGAGUGGAAUUCCUGGUGUAGCGGUGGAAUGCGCAGAUAUCAGGAGGAACACCAAUAGCGAAGGCAGCUCGCUGGGACGGUACUGACACUAAGGCGCGAAAGCGUGGGGAGCGAACAGG